AUUGAACGCUGGCGGCAUGCCUUACACAUGCAAGUCGAACGGCAGCACGGGAGCAAUCCUGGUGGCGAGUGGCGAACGGGUGAGUAAUGUAUCGGAACGUACCAUUGAGUGGGGGAUAACGUAGCGAAAGUUACGCUAAUACCGCAUAUACCCUGAGGGGGAAAGCAGGGGAUCGCAAGACCUUGUGCUCUUUGAGCGGCCGAUAUCAGAUUAGCUAGUUGGUGAGGUAAAGGCUCACCAAGGCGACGAUCUGUAGCGGGUCUGAGAGGAUGAUCCGCCACACUGGAACUGAAACACGGUCCAGACUCCUACGGGAGGCAGCAGUGGGGAAUUUUGGACAAUGGGGGCAACCCUGAUCCAGCCAUGCCGCGUGAGUGAAGAAGGCCUUCGGGUUGUAAAGCUCUUUCGGCCGGGAGGAAAUCGCAUCAGCUAAUACCUGGUGUGGAUGACAGUACCGGAAUAAGAAGCACCGGCUAACUACGUGCCAGCCGCCGCAGUAA
rnacentral:rRNA from 1 species